rnacentral:misc_RNA from 1 species
ACAAUGAUGCAUUUGUAUAUUGGUGAUAAUUGAUGACUUCACUUUGAUCCGCUGCUUAUUGAUUACUAGUGGACCUCAUGAUUAAAGCCAUGGGGUGUCAUGGUCCGUGGGUGCAUGGAGCACAGGAGUAGGUGGUUGAAUUUGGUAAUUGGACAAGCAAUUGUGAAUUUGUAGUCUGCUUUUGAGUGAAAACAUUGGGCACUGUUUCUGAGAUUAAGGCUGGGACCAAAGGAGUGGGCAAAGGAGAUAGGGUCCAAUCGUGGGCAAUUAUAGCAUCUCUAGUCUCUUCUUUGCUGCCGCUGUUCUAUUUGUUUUCUUUUUCGAUCGUGCAAGAGAGCUGAUUGGUAGGCA